rnacentral:lncRNA from 1 species
GGACAAUAUUAGACUAUUUGUGUGUACCGAUAGUCUGAUUGUCUGCCUACAGCCUUUUCGCAGUAGGCUUCUGGGCCUAUUUUUGUUUUAACAGGGCAUCCUUUUAUCAGUGCCAGGUCCUGGCCCUAAAUAUCCCCAACAGUGGAUUAGUGAAUGGAGUUUAUUUAAAGGAGACGGGCCAUGCAGAGACCAGUCAGUGUGUCGGAACCGACAUAGGACUCAGGAUGCAGAACAUAUACAUGCAGAGCAAUGAGCACUUUGAAGUUUUUACCACCGUCUUCUCUCCACAAGUAGGCAGAGCAAGACAUCGAUACAGAAAUGAGGAACCAGAUAAGGUGGUGGUGACACACAGAUACGUCCCCCAGUGGCCUGAUGAAGUGGAGCUGACACAAGGUGAUGUCAUCCAAGUCUUUUCCAGACAGGAGGAGGAGAGGUGGUUUGGGCGGCUGCAGAAUGGACAGCAGGGCUACUUCCCUGCUUCCUGUGUCCUCGAGCUCAAUCACAACCUACACCAUAGGGAUGAAGCCUCCAAGAAUGGCAAAGGCUUACGACGACACAGUUCAGUUCACGUUGGGUCUGCAGGGCUCCUUGGGGACUUUGCAGGUGGAGGCAGGCCACAGACCCCAAGGGGAGGGGAGGAGGGUCCCUUCCUGACCCUCAAGCAUGAGGCCCAGGCUUCGGCCCCCAGCUCACCCAGCCUGCUCCACAGGAUCCUGUCCAAACAUCGCAGGAGGAGCCACUGCCAGGGCUCCAGCAACAGGGCCUUCGAACCUGACUGAACCGCCCCCAACCUGCAGGAGGGCACAGCACUCAUCCCACAGCGGGAUGUCCCAUACAUAAAUGUAAUAUAUUAACAUACAUUACAUUGUACUACAGUUUACUCAGCACAUACUGUAGAAGCUAAUGCUUCUAAUUGGCUGAAAAGCAUUCAUUUCAUCAUACUUGUAUCAUUUUGCUAAACACAGGUUGCUAACCAACAACAAGUUCACUUUACUCUAAACUGAUGAGGUUAUUGCAAAUGAAAUUGCCUAUAUUGAAAGGAAAUCAGGGAGGGAGGGAAUCAGCGUAAUUCAGAAAAAAAAAUGUACAAUAUGAAUUUGAUUUAGUAUUUAAAUAGUAUUUAACGUUAAAAUGUGAAUCUUUCAUUACCCAGUUUAUUCAGCCCAUAUAUGUAUGAUAAACUGUAAAAUUAAUCUGUUUUAAAUAAAUAAUUUUAUGUGAUUGCA